UCCCAUGGCUAAUGAUAGGCAGGCUUUGAUGGAGAAAGCUAUGGUAAUUUGUUUUUCAUGGUGGCAUAGCACUCCUACCAUACCUCCACCAGGACUUCAUUUGUCCUAGAGGAGAAAAGAAGUUGGGAUAAUUGAGGGAGCCAUCUAUUGUUAUCUUAAGUUCCUGCCAGACUAUUCUAGAACAUAUCAACAAUGUCCAAGCUCACUCCAAAAUCUAACCACUGAUAGGAAAUUAGCUAGCACCUGAUUUCAAGAUGUAUUUAUUAGCCAGUUUAAGGCUAGGUUAUGCUGCUAUGACAACUGAAGUUGUUAAGAAUUAACUGGAGCAUGGCAAAACUACUAUCAUUCAUGACUCAUGAUCAUCAAGGUGCCCAUGGACUCUUCAUGUUUGUCUGUAGCAAAAGGAAAAACAACAUGCCCAUCAGUUUCUGCUCAGAGAUAACUCACUUCUACUCAUAAAUUCAAUAGCUACUGUUUGUCUCACUGCCAGUAAAAUAUCAGUGAAACAUAGAUGGAUAAUUCUCCCCCUUGAGGAGACCACAUUUUUAAAAGUAGCCUUCCAUUUCAUUCAUGACCACAGACAAGGGACUAAGUAUGGACACAGAAGACAUUAGGAUGGACACAAACUCCUCCACUGCAGAUCCCAAAUGAGCACAGGAACUGUGAACCUCAGCACUUUGGGUCCAGGAGGCAGUCUCUGUAAGGCCUGCCUUGGGGACCAAUUUCCAUUCUACAGACUCAGAAUGAUGUGGAAUACUUACUGUGAGUCACUCACCAGCAGUGUGAGUACCUGCCUGCACUAUCACCUCAGUGCCUAACUUCAAGUGCUGCCUCUUGAUGAAAAUUCAAAUUGCUGAGUGUGAAUGAAUUCAGCUUGGUGGAAAACUUGAAUCCUCGAUGCCCAGAAAUACCCAGUUUGCCUCUGACUGACAGCUUUGCCCACCCUUUCAUUCUGCUCUUUUCCAACAAUGAAAAAAAAAAAACCUCCAAAAAGUCUUCAGCCUGUACCCACACAAUGCUCACACUAGUUUCUGCUUCCCUGCAUCAGACCCACAGAUGAAGGAAAAUAAAUAAAGAAUUCCCAGGA